rnacentral:tRNA from 1 species
GGGAUGGUAGUAUAGCUUGGUUAGUAUUCGACGUUCGGGGCGUCGUGACGGGGGUUCAAAUCCUCUCCAUCCCA